rnacentral:rRNA from 1 species
GAUGAACGCUGGCGGCGCGCCUAACACAUGCAAGUCGAACGGUAAAAGCAUCUUCGGGUGUGUUUAAGGUGGGGGACGGGCGAGUGACACAGGGGCAAACCGCACCCUUCAUUUUGGUAGGCAAGGAAGAAGGUGGAUAUAACCGAAUACUUCAAGACUUCCGCGGGGGAGAGUAGGGGAAGUUCCGGCCGGGCGGGAUUGGACCGCGGGCUGUUGGCUUGUUGGUUGGGUAACGGCCUAGCCAGGCAAUGCAGGGUAGCCCGGAUGGGAGGUCGAGCAGCCACAUGGGGACUGAGACACGGCCCAGACUCCUACGGGAGGCAGCAGUGGGGAAUCUUGCACAAUGGGCGAAAGCCUGAUGCAGCGACGCCGCGUGCGGGAUGAAGGCCUUCGGGUUGUAAACCGCUUUCAGCAGGGACGACGCGAUAGUGACGGUACCUGAAGAAGAAGCCCCGGCUAACUACGUG